rnacentral:rRNA from 1 species
UCGAAACACGGUAGGAGUUGGGGAACCAGCUCCUUUGGCCUUUUAGGCUAGGUUCUAAAAGUCCUAGCUUUGCCGUCAUUCUGUUGUAGUCUUUAUGACGCCGGUUUGAGACGGGAAGCCUAGGGCCCCUCUUUCCCUAGGGAAUGAGGUCCUAAUGAGUCCACGAAACUCCGCCCUAGUUGGGUUUCCAGGAGUUUUUGCCUGGACGUUGCGAGUAAAACUCAUAGGGAGUUUGCCCUUUACGCUGAGCGUAAAAUGCUCUCGGAGUAUGAGUUUUUCAGAAAAUCCUAAGCAACUAGACCAGGUUUUCCACGAACUGGAAAAAUAUUCCUCUUUUUUACUUUAAGUCCCAAUUGGGCUGGAGUGAAAGUGGACUUAUUUUUCCGCACCUGUUCCGUAAGGGAAAAGGUGAACUAGGCGUAGCCAGGAGGAUGACCUGGUCAGGUGAGCAAGCAAUCCUGUCCUAGGCUUAAGACCAGCUUUGCCUCGUCAAAGUCCUGGAUUUUCCUUGUCUUAGCUCGUCCUCUUUUUAGUGGAACCCACCACUUUUUCUGGUGAGGAAAAGGUUGGGUGGAGUAACGAGCUUCCAAGUCUUUUUAAAGCUCCUUUUUUGUUCGAGGCUAGCUGUGUUGUCCCCAAAGGCUAUCCUGGGCCUCUGACCUUUCCAGUGAACUUGGCAAGAAUUGGCACACCUGUUUUCUAAAAACAUGGGUGUUAGAAAGCAUUAGUGCCUUGUACUGCCAAGGGUCCUACUGGCAGCAGUAUCUUGACUGUGCCAAAGUACCGUAGUUUCUUGUUGCUUUAUUGGCAACCAGGGAAGUAUACAUGAUGCCACUCCUUUACUGGAAAGGCCUCGUGAAACAAUGG